CCCACACACAUACUUUCCUUUGACUGAGAGGCUAUAUUGUAGAGGGACAACAUCAUUAGUCCAACAUCGGUUGUGAGUCAAAAAAAAAUCUGGCUUAUAUAGAAUAGAACACUCUCUCUCCUGUGAGGAACAAUUUGAAUGAAAAAAAUAUGAGACCUCAUGUCAUAGCGACCAAAGCCAAAACGGACAAUACCUCACG
rnacentral:lncRNA from 1 species